GUGGGGAAUAUUGCACAAUGGGCGAAAGCCUGAUGCAGCAACGCCGCGUGAGCGAAGAAGGCCUUCGGGUCGUAAAGCUCUUUUCUGGGAGAUGAGAAAGGACAGUAUCCCAGGAAUAAGUCUCGGCUAACUACGUGCCAGCAGCCGCGGUAAAACGUAGGAGGCGAGCGUUAUCCGGAUUCACUGGGCGUAAAGCGCGUGCAGGCGGUUCGGUAAGUUGGGCGUGAAAUCUCCCGGCUCAACUGGGAGAGGUCGUCCAAUACUACCGGACUAGAGAGCGAUAGAGGAAAAUGGAAUUCCCGGUGUAGUGGUGAAAUGCGUAGAUAUCGGGAGGAACACCAGUGGCGAAAGCGAUUUUCUGGAUCGUUUCUGACGCUCAGACGCGAAAGCUAGGGUAGCAAACGGGAUUAGA
rnacentral:rRNA from 1 species